CAGCUCCAGAAAUUCAACUAGAAAUUGGAAAGCUUUGGGGAAUAUACAGGAUUUGCAGCUGCUAGAAUUUUUGAACUGCAAAGCAGGGAAGUCUAGAUUAUAUUAUUUCACAGUCAGGUUGGUGAUAGAAAUAAUUGGACUCAAAGUUGAUAUUGUUUUUCACCUUAUUUUCUCUUCUUGCUGUUGCUACUAUUUGGACACAAUAUUACAUGUAAAUACCCAUACGAUCAAAAAGAAUUUCAAGAUGGCCCAUCCACAUACUUCAAGCUGUAGACAACUGGCUCCUCUCUGCCCAUGUGAAGAAAAGAGUAUUGUUCUUCUGCUAUGUUCAUUUCUUGCUAUCAGACAUCCAUUUAAAAUUGUUAGAGAGGUCAGCAUAAUCGAAGGAAACUCUUCAAAAGCAGGACAUCAAUCACGGAACGUGUGCAUGAAGAAAUGACCUUCAUGUCUGUUUCUUGUUCUAAAUAAUUUCUUCUUGUACAAAUUCUGCAAGGAUCCCGGGUGCGGAACCACACCACCUGUCUGUCAGUGGCCAUGCUGUGGAGGCAGCUCAUGAAAAAGAACUAGAAGGACUUACAACUAGAAGAUAAGACUACGUACUGGGGCUUUGGGAAAAAAAUAAUCAUCUCUGCUGUCUGUGUCACUAAUCCAACCAUGUAAUUGUUUUCACAUUUUGGUUCUGGCUACCAGGUAGGAUUUCCAGAAGAAAAUACAGGAAUUUCAGAUACACAACAAGCACUUUUUUCUGUGUAAAUAUGCCUGAAAUGUUGCACAGCAUACACUUAUUCUGAAUAAAUAUUCAUUUUUUAUUUGAAAAUCUAAUUUAACUGGGCAUCUUUAUCCUGUGAAUUUAUUUGCAAGAUAUAGCAACCUAUUAGCAAGGAACAUGGAAUAGGCUGAAUAAUUCUUUAAAAAGUAGGAAAUACUGAGAAUCAGUAGGCCUAGAUUCUAACUUCAGUUUUGCAAAUAAUCCUGUAAGUCAUUUGGCUUGGCUUUGCUGCCUUUACAUGCACAGUGAAUGAGAAAGAUAAUGUCUGACCUCACUUUUUUCACAGGAACGUUGUUAGAAUGAAUGAGGCGAUGUGCAUAUAAACACAGAGCAUCUUGGAAGAUAAACACUCUAUAAAACUGUGGUAUCAUCAUUAUUAUUAUUGUUAUAUUAUAGAGAGAAUUUCUGGAAAGUCAGCUGGCUGGAUAUAUUAUAGUAAUCUUCUACAAAAGAGCAAAUAAAAAC
rnacentral:lncRNA from 1 species